UCAUCAUGUAGGAUUAUCCUUACCUGUUCUUUCUAUUCGAAGGCAUAUAGAACUGAUGAUUGGAGGAGUUCACAUGAU
rnacentral:snoRNA from 1 species